UACGGAGGGGGCUAGCGUUAUUCGGAAUUACUGGGCGUAAAGCGCACGUAGGCGGCUUUGCAAGUUAGAGGUGAAAGCCCGGGGCUCAACCCCGGAAUUGCCUUUAAAACUGCAUCGCUAGAAUUGUGGAGAGGUAAGUGGAAUUCCGAGUGUAGAGGUGAAAUUCGUAGAUAUUCGGAAGAACACCAGUGGCGAAGGCGACUUACUGGACACAUAUUGACGCUGAGGUGCGAAAGCGUGGGGAGCAAACAGGG
rnacentral:rRNA from 1 species